CAACUUCUCCACACAAGGAGGAAACCUGUGCCCAGUACGGAAGAAGGGGGCAUAUUCAGAGAGUGGCAGAUCCAAGAAGCAGAAGGGGUGCCUCAGGACAUUGGAGAAAAAGUAGUUCAUCUGUGGAACACAGUGAGGAAGUGAAUCACCUGAUGGGCUGUGAGAAGAUGCCUGCAAUGUCGGCCGCACUAAUAGAAAAGCAACUCCCUUGAACUUUUCUGCAAGCUAAGACUUCUUUUCAGGGUCCCGGUGUGCCCCGCCCUGACACACAGCCCUGGUGGCAUCCCUCCGAAAUUGCCUGAUGGCCAGCUCAGCCCUGGCCCUCUCCCAAAGCCCUGUCUGUUCAGAAAUGCAGCUCAUCUUGAAGAGAGAAGCAUGGCUUAUUGAGCAGGAAGACCCUCUAAGGCCAUGUGUUGAGAAGGGAUAUCAGGCCCUGCAAACCUCAAGAACUGGAAAAAAUGGCCACGUUGAGAAUCUAGCAACUUGUCUCCUGCCCAGAGCGGAAGCACUC